UAAGUUUCUUGCUUUCAAAUGUUUUAUUUUUUACUUUUUAACAUUAUUCCCGCUACUAUGAUUCUUGCCCGAGGAUGAGCAUUUGAUUUUUUUCCACCCCACGUUUCCAACAUUUCAUUGCAGUUUUUGUUGGUUUUUUUUUUUUUUUUCAAUGGAUUAAACGAUCCAUGUGAAGUGCUUGUUAUCUUGAAUGUUUAAUCAUUUGAAUUUGAGGAAAAGAUUUGAUCUUUUUCAUCACUCUCUUCCACCUAGACGUUCUGUUCUUUAGAAUCUAUUCUUUUGCCCCUUGCCGGGGUCUAUCCUGUCAGAGACCACUGAAUUUGUUUGCAGGAAUCUAUCUCCUAUAAUAAAUUAAUAAUUUUCUCCAUGAAAUUUGGAGAUUACACGGAGUGAACAGCAAAACUUGAUUAUUUUAAAUUCUUUUAUGUAGGGUUUGAGCCAAUCAUUUAAAAUCUUGUUUCUAUAUGCAUGUUCGUACUGCUGAUAUAGUAGAAUUGGUUCACUGGAGUCCCUUUAAAUAGAGGAAGCUAAUAU
rnacentral:lncRNA from 1 species